UGUGGAGAAAAGAACACCUGUUGACAAGGAAAGCAUCAAAGGACACCCAAGCUGUGAAAUAUACAAAUUAUAUAUGCAUUCAUGCCACAGUACUGUAAAUAGGCUUUAACUAGUGGUUUUGUUCUACAUUUUCCUCUUCCUAUUAUUCUCUUGGUAGUUGGUAUACUUUUUUAUUUGUGCACGAGUAGUUGCAUUGCUGAGGCUCCAUCAAUUUUGAUGUGCUUCAACAAACUAGUGGCCAUUACUUAAAAAGGCUCUAUGCUCAAGUCUACGAAAGCAGUUGUCUACAUAAUGAUAAAGAGAGGCAUCGCUUCACUCUCUCUUUUGGAUUUCAGUGUCAUCCAUAUUGUCAGAGAACAAUCCUUAUAUUAUAAUUAAAUGACUAUUGACCAAAUGAAUAAACCUCUCACUCACAAGCACUACUCAUGGAGCAGACGUGGCACAGGAAAUGCAUAACCCACAAAAUUUUCAACAUGCUCCAACAGAAAGAUUAUGACAUCAACAGUGAAAACGAUAGUACACAUAAAACACAGAUAAUGCCAUCAAAUAAACAGAUAAAGCCAACAAUAAAUAGAACAAGAAAAAAAUGAGUAACUUCAAGAAUGAUACAUUUCUUUCUGCUUGUGAUAUGUUCAGGGGGAAUGAGGCCUUAUGGGAAAUACUGACUACAGUUAAAAACUCAACUCAAUUAUAAUAAAAAAAAAAAUCUAAAAA
rnacentral:misc_RNA from 1 species